CCUACGGGAGGCAGCAGUGAGGAAUAUUGGUCAAUGGGCGCGAGCCUGAACCAGCCAAGUAGCGUGAAUGAUGACUGCCCUACGGGUUGUAAACUUCUUUUAUAAAGGAAUAGAGUUAGGCACGUGUGCCUUUUUGUAUGUACUUUAUGAAUAAGGAUCGGCUAACUCCGUGCCAGCAGCCGCGGUAAUACGGAGGAUCCGAGCGUUAUCCGGAUUUAUUGGGUUUAAAGGGAGCGGAGAUGGGUUGUUAAGUCAGUUGUGAAAGUUUGCGGCUCAACCGUAAAAUUGCAAUUGAUACUGGCAGGCUUGAGUACAGUUGAGGUAGGCGGAAUUCGUGGUGUAGCGGUGAAAUGCUUAGAGAUCACGAAGAAAGCCGAUUGCGAAGGCAGCUUACUAAACUGCCACUGACAUUGAUGCGCGAAAGUGUGGGUAUCAAACAGGAUUAGAUACCCUAGUAGUC
rnacentral:rRNA from 1 species